CAGCAAGUAACACCCAAACUCAAAAGUCUACUUCCUCCAUGGAGCCUUCCCUGCUUCUCACAGAUGGAUAUGAACUCUCUGAGGGCAGAGACCACCCUGGUUUUGUCAUCGUUUGCUCAGUGCCUCGAAAGAUGCCUGUCACAUAAUAAGGAAAAUGAAGUUGAAAGAGGUGAAGAGGCCCAGAGUUACACUCUAUGAAGCAUCUGAGCCUGUAUCUGAACUCCCGCCUGCUUGGCUCCAACAGCACUCAAACCAGCAUACUACCUAGCAGUCCUCACAGGAACCCAGGUCACUGCGAUGUGGUCUUUGUUCUAGCCCUGCUCUGCCUGCUGCCCAGCCCCUAAGUUGUCUAUUCCUUCCUCAUCUUGCUUCAUAUACUUCCUGUCCCUGAAUGAAGCUCAUGCCCAAAAGUGUGCAUAGUAUCUACAUUGGUACAGGUGGAGUUAAUUCCUUAUGCAGUAUUCCAGCUUCCUUCUGCUCCUCUACUUUCACUUGGAGUGAUCCUAUUGGCUCUUCUCCCACUGGAAAAUUUCUCCUCUUGUGGGUCUUCUCAGUAUGUCAGAGGCUAGAACUUCAGAGUUUCCCUAUCAUGGUGCCAUUACAGCUUGAAAGAUGUAUCUCACUAGCAUGUUUUCACUUUGAAACCUCUCCCACCCAUCUUAGGUUUUGCACAAAAGAAUUGCUCAGGAAUCAGGAACAGAAAUAUCCUGAUCUCAUUUUUGUGAAUGAGUCUCUGUCAUAGACAAGGGUGAAAUCGAAGUUUGAUGUCCCCUUCCUCCCACCACCCAGGUGGCAUGUUUCC